rnacentral:lncRNA from 1 species
UUUAAAAUUACAAUUCAUGCAAUUACAGUCUUAAAAUCAGAUGGUAGGAAACUAAUAUUAUGCAAGUGCAUGAAGUAUCUAUUUUUAAAUAGGCUUUUUCAGUUUCCACUAGGAACUUAAACCAGAGUUUUCUCAAGAAAAGAUAAAAGUUUGUUAAAUUCUGCAUCUAGACAUAUAUGGUGGGAUAAGAGUUGUACUAACCAGUGCUCGGCUCUCGGUAUUAUUUUUGUAUGCUCGGUUCUUUGAGGUAUAGGAAGUCAACUCGGUCGUUGGGCCUGGGUGAGACCCGUGUAGAUGGCCUUUUAGGGAAGGCCCAAAGUGUGAGAAAGGGUCGUUACGUAGAGUAAUUUUAUAUAUGCACCAACUUAUAGAUAUGUUUGGGGCGGUGAAUAUAAUGUUGUUAUUGUUUUACAUGUUUGUUAUGGGUAUAUGGCGAUAUUUCUUGUUGGUGUUUUCUGUUGCAUAUCUGUUACACGUGGCUAGUAGAUAUAACCCUAUUAAAAUAGGGAGAUGCGUUAGUAACAAAAGGGGCCUACAAAUGGCACCUGAAGAUCAUUGGUGCCCGUGGCAGGUGGUUUUUCUGUUACAGAUAAAAGAUUAACGUGCUUAGUAUAUUUUCAGUUAAGAUUCACUUAUCUCCAGGGAGAAUGGUUGCAUAUUGCAUGUGCAACAAUAAAAGGAGAGUAAGUGAUGGAAGAGGCCCCAACAACCAAAAGAGCGUCUAGGACCAACCUUGUAUGAAAGGCAACCACAAGAGCGUCUAGGACCAACCUUGCAUGAAGGGCACCAACAAGAGCGUCUAGGACAACAAGGUCCAUGACCAAGAGAGUUGAUGUUUGCAUGAAGGGCACCCACAAGAGCGUCUAGGACAACAAGGUCCAUGACCAAAAGAGUUGUUGUUCCAAGAAGCCCAUCAAGCGUAGCAUAGCUUUAUUUGUGGUGCAAAUAGCAUAGCAUUGUGAACCUUUGUUUAAUUCUGCAAAUUAGGAUUAAAUUAGGAUUACCUAGAUUAGUUACGGUUUCUAGAACCUACCACACUAAUCUAGGUCGGCCAUGUGAAGGCUAGGGGGCCAUGUGCUCUAUGUGCUUCCAUGUGCUUACACUUGCA